CCCCCUCUCUUUCCUCUUCUUUUAGACUUCCAGCCAGCAGGCGAUUUCCAUAUGGCUCCUGGGACACUUUUAUUGCUAGUGGAUGCUUAAACUAAUCAUCUCUGGAAAGCUUUCCCUGCACCAGAUGCAGCUAGCGAAUGGUUUUAUUGUUAUUCCCCACACUACCAGCAUCUAGUCCACGAAGCCAGGAAAGCACGUCCAGAGAAGAAGCAAAUCAACACUGAUCACUGAGGGACUAAUCUGCAGCAGAGUGGAUAAAUCCCCUCUAUCUCUCUUAAUGUUCUUCGUGGCCCAAGGCAUCCUGAUGAACCACUGGCCUCCCUCCAGCCUGCUGCAAAAGGAAGUCAGAAUCACGCUGAGCUGAUUCAGGGGAAUAGUCUCAUCAAUUGCACCCAGAUUGCUUAAUUUUAUUGAAAAGACCAACACCAGUUCCCAGUGCCAAAUCCAUCUUGCAGAGCUAUACAUGAGCCGGAGCUGAGUGUCUGAUCAUGUGUCAAGGACAACAGCAAAUCUGUUUCCACCAAAGGCAAGAAACGUUAUGUCCAUCUACCCUUUCCCACGCUCCAUCUGCAUUCAGACCAGGAUGAGCUACCUCCAUUUCAGCUUUAGCCUCUGUGGCAGACCUGAUGCCUAUGUUAAAAGUUACCUUGGGAAAGAUGACCCCUGUAGACCAAUCUGCCUCCAAAAUUGCAAGCAGAUAAGGGCUACAACUUGAGAAAAUGUUACCAAAUCCUCUGUUCUUAGAGCCUCAGCUGCAGGGGCUGGGCUGUUGCCGAGUGCCCUGGAAAUGCAGGAGGGUGCCUCUCCCAUGAUGAAUUCCAGAUGCUUCUCCAAAAGGGCUGCUUCGUGCUUUAUCUCACAGACCACGGUAUUCAAACGUCAAGCAAAAACCGUCUCCCUGUAUUAAGGGCAAAAAUCCAGUUCCAGUCUCAAAGCUGCAAAACAACGGGGCAAAUCCACCGACCUGAGCAGGACGAGGUGGGACCAGAACUGAGUCCUUGGCUAGGUUGCAACUAUUGAUUUCAGAAGCCUCCACCAGUGACUUGGCCGUGUUGUGCUAAGUACUUGCACCCCGUAGCGCUCCAUUUACCGCGAGCUUUAUGGAGAGUCCCGCGGCACGUCUGCCUGGCAGCUCCCGACAUCUCUUUGCUUUCCUUUGUGCAGAACGGCUGUUGUCUGAGCCACUGUGAUGAGGCUGUGGAGGUCAGAGGGGUCCUGGGUGCAUCAAAACGUGAAGCCUUGGGCUGCAGCAAAUGAGCCGGGAGAGCGAGCAGCAGACUGCCAUCAACGCGAGGCUCACGGCUGC
rnacentral:lncRNA from 1 species